AUAGGUAUGCUUAGGGAGGAGCUUGCGUCACAUUAGUUAGUUGGUGGGGUAAAGGCCUACCAAGACUAUGAUGUGUAGCCGGGCUGAGAGGUUGAACGGCCACAUUGGGACUGAGACACGGCCCAAACUCCUACGGGAGGCAGCAGUAGGGAAUUUUCGGCAAUGGAGGAAACUCUGACCGAGCAACGCCGCGUGAACGAUGAAGUAUUUCGGUACGUAAAGUUCUUUUAUUAGGGAAGAAUAAAUGAUGGAAAAAUCAUUCUGACGGUACCUAAUGAAUAAGCCCCGGCUAACUAUGUGCCAGCAGCCGCGGUAAUACAUAGGGGGCAAGCGUUAUCCGGAAUUAUUGGGCGUAAAGGGUGCGUAGGCUGUUAAAUAAGUUUAUGGUCUAAGUGCAAUGCUCAACAUUGUGAUGCUAUAAAAACUGUUUAGCUAGAGUAAGAUAGAGGCAAGUGGAAUUCCAUGUGUAGUGGUAAAAUGCGUAAAUAUAUGGAGGAACACCAGUAGCGAAGGCGGCUUGCUGGGUCUUUACUGACGCUGAGGCACGAAAGCGUGGGGAGCAAACAGGAUUAGAUACCCUGGUAGUCCACGCCGUAAACGAUGAGUACUAAACGUUGGGUAAAACCAGUGUUGAAGUUAACACAUUAAGUACUCCGCCUGANUAGUACGUACGCAAGUAUGAAACUUAAAGGAAUUGACGGGACUCCGCACAAGCGGUGGAUCAUGUUGUUUAAUUCGAAGGUACCCGAAAAACCUCACCAGGUCUUGACAUGCUUCUGCAAAGCUGUAGAAACACAGUGGAGGUUAUCAGUUGCACAGGUGGUGCAUGGUUGUCGUCAGCUCGUGUCGUGAGAUGUUGGGUUAAGUCCCGCAACGAGCGCAACCCUUAUUGUUAGUUGCCNNCACGUAAUGG
rnacentral:rRNA from 1 species